rnacentral:rRNA from 1 species
GACGAACGCUGGCGGCGUGCUUAACACAUGCAAGUCGAGCGGUAAGGCCCUUUCGGGGGUACACGAGCGGCGAACGGGUGAGUAACACGUGGGUGACCUGCCCUUAGCUCUGGGAUAAGCCUGGGAAACUGGGUCUAAUACCGGAUAUGACUCCAUGACGCAUGUUGUGGGGUGGAAAGCCUUGUGCGGCUAGGGAUGGGCCCGCGGCCUAUCAGCUUGUUGGUGGGGUGAUGGCCUACCAAGGCGACGACGGGUAGCCGGCCUGAGAGGGCGACCGGCCACACUGGGACUGAGACACGGCCCAGACUCCUACGGGAGGCAGCAGUGGGGAAUCUUGCGCAAUGGGCGAAAGCCUGACGCAGCGACGCCGCGUGGGGAUGACGGCCUCGGU